rnacentral:rRNA from 1 species
UACGUAGGGUGCAAGCGUUGUCCGGAAUUAUUGGGCGUAAAGAGCUCGUAGGCGGCUCUGCACGUCCGUUGUGAAAUCGCCCGGCUCAACUGGGCGGGGUCAGCGGAUACGGCGGAGCUUGAGCAAGCUAGGGGGCAAUGGAAUUCCCGGUGUAGUGGUGGAAUGCGUAGAUAUCGGGAGGAACACCAGUGGCGAAGGCGGUUGCCUGGGGCUUUGCUGACGCUGAUGCGCGAAAGCGUGGGGAGCGAUCCGG